rnacentral:rRNA from 1 species
GAUGAACGCUGACAGAAUGCUUAACACAUGCAAGUCAACUUGAAUUUGGGUUUUUUAACUUAGAUUUGGGUGGCGGACGGGUGAGUAGCGCGUAAAGAACUUGCCUCGCAGCUAGGGACAACAUUUGGAAACGAAUGCUAAUACCUGAUAUUAUGAUUAUAAGGCAUCUUAGACUUAUGAAAGCUAUAUGCGCUGUGAGAGAGCUUUGCGUCCCAUUAGCUAGUUGGAGAGGUAACGGCUCACCAAGGCGAUGAUGGGUAGCCGGCCUGAGAGGGUGAACGGCCACAAGGGGACUGAGACACGGCCCUUACUACUACGGGAGGCAGCAGUGGGGAAUAUUGGACAAUGGACCAAGAGUCUGAUCCAGCAAUUCUGUGUGCACGAUGACGUUUUUCGGAAUGUAAAGUGCUUUCAGUUGGGAAGAAAAAAAUGACGGUACCAACAGAAGAAGUGACGGCUAAAUACGUG